rnacentral:rRNA from 1 species
ACUCCGUACGGGAGGCAGCAGGUGGGGAAUAUUGCACAAUGGGCGCAAGCCUGAUGCAGCCAUGCCGCGUGUAUGAAGAAGGCCUUCGGGUUGAUAAAGUACUUUCAGCAGUGAGGAAGGUGGGUAUGUUAAUAGCAUGCACUUCAUUUGACUGUUAGCUGCAGAAGAAGCACCGGCUAACUCCGUGCCAGCAGCCGCGGUAAUACGGAGGGUGCGAGCGUUAAUCGGAAUUACUGGGCGUAAAGCGCAUGCAGGCGGCCUUGUUAAGUCAGAUGUGAAAGCCCGGGGCUUAACCUCGGAAUUGCAUUUGAAACUGGCAGGCUAGAGUCUGUAGAGGGGGGUAGAAUUUCAGGUGUAGCGGUGAAAUGCGUAGAGAU